rnacentral:rRNA from 1 species
CCGUCCCACGUUCGGAUUGCAGGCUGCAACCCGCCUGCAUGAAGUUGGAAUCGCUAGUAAUCGCGGAUCAGCAUGCCGCGGUGAAUACGUUCCCGGGCCUUGUACACACCGCCCGUCACACCAUGAGAGUCGGGAACACCCGAAGUCCGUAGCCUAACCGCAAGGGGGGCGCGGCCGAAGGUGGGUUCGAUAAUUGGGGUGAAGUCGUAACAAGGUAGC